rnacentral:piRNA from 1 species
UUUAAUCCCACUACUAUGGAGGCUGAUGC